rnacentral:rRNA from 1 species
UACGUAGGUGGCAAGCGUUGUCCGGAUUUACUGGGCGUAAAGAGCGCGCAGGCGGUCGUGCAAGUCGCGUGUGAAAGCCCCCGGCUCAACUGGGGAGGGUCACGCGAUACUGUUCGACUCGAAGGCAGGAGAGGGAAGCGGAAUUCCCGGUGUAGUGGUGAAAUGCGUAGAUAUCGGGAGGAACACCAGUGGCGAAGGCGGCGUCCUGGACCAACACUGACACUGAGGAGCGAAAGCCAGGGGAGCAAACGGGG